rnacentral:lncRNA from 1 species
GCUGGUCCUUAGCCUGUAUUGCGGAGCAAGCUUUCGGCGACCAGCUGGACCCUGGGCACCCUUCUUCGAACAAUGGCUUUUAAUUCUCAGACUAGAACGUUUAGGAUUACAAAAGAAACUGGUUCUUUUCACCUCCUUAUUCUUGUGAUGUAGCAUUCCGCAUAUAUAUAUAUAUAUAUCCAACUAUCCUAAAAGACACUGCCCUUCAUCAUUCCAUGCCGUUAGACAUUUAUAGGACCAUGCAUGGUGAUCUCCUCCAGACAAAAGUAAAUGCUGGUGCAGAACAGUGUCUUCCUGGUACUACACAUGAAGAUGUCCCACUCUCCACUGCUCAAGGAGAGAGUGCCUGACCUGAGCUGGGCCCAUCAGAUCCAGUACUUACCUGGAAUAGGAAAAAGAUGGGGAGGGUGACCAAAGAUUACAAAAAUCUCUGAAGCUUAUCUACUUGAGAGAGAGUCCCUGAAGAUACUGGCCUCUCAUUCCUGCUAUGUAUAUCCAAUGUGACUGAACUCUGAAUAAAAUAUAUAAGUUAUAACAAUGUAGCAAUUGACCCAGCAAACGAGGACACAAACGUGUUGGAGGGAUUUGAGUUUGAUGUCAUGCAUAUAAUGUGAUCCCACUGUAUGACUACACAAAUGUUGGCAAAAGUAAGUUCAGAGGAAAUGGUAGGCAAGUACUUCCCAGUUUUGACCAGAAGAUGGAGAAAAAAAGAAUUCUCAAAAAAUGUUAAAGGUGUCUACGGAGAAAUAGACAAGCGAUGCACGACAGAUACAUGUGUCAGUCUGGUCCCUGCAGUUGUAUUUGUAAUAAUACACAUUGGAGCAAUUUCAUGGCCAUCGGUUAGAGAAUGUUU